UACAGGGGGGGCAAGCGUUGUCCGGAAUUACUGGGCGUAAAGGGCCAGUAGGCGGCCAACUAAGUCCGACGUGAAAUCCCCAAGCUUAACUUGGGAUCUGCGUCGGAUACUGGAUGGCUUGAGUAUGGGAGAGGUAAGCGGAAUUCCUGGUGUAGCGGUGAAAUGCGUAGAUAUCAGGAGGAACACCUGCGGUGUAGGCGGCUUGCUGGACCGUAACUGACGCUGAGGAACGAAAGCAUGGGGAGCGAACAGG
rnacentral:rRNA from 1 species